GUGCUCGCUUCGGCAGCACAUAUACUAAAAUUGGAAAGAUACAGAGAAGUUUAGCAUGAACCCUGUGCAAGGAUGACACACAAAUUCGUACAGCGUUCAAUAUUUUU
ensembl:snRNA LOC120095816 U6 spliceosomal RNA